rnacentral:rRNA from 1 species
AGCAGCUUGCUGCUUUGCUGACGAGUGGCGGACGGGUGAGUAAUGUCUGGGAAACUGCCUGAUGGAGGGGGAUAACUACUGGAAACGGUAGCUAAUACCGCAUAACGUCGCAAGACCAAAGAGGGGGACCUUCGGGCCUCUUGCCAUCGGAUGUGCCCAGAUGGGAUUAGCUAGUAGGUGGGGUAACGGCUCACCUAGGCGACGAUCCCUAGCUGGUCUGAGAGGAUGACCAGCCACACUGGAACUGAGACACGGUCCAGACUCCUACGGGAGGCAGCAGUGGGGAAUAUUGCACAAUGGGCGCAAGCCUGAUGCAGCCAUGCCGCGUGUAUGAAGAAGGCCUUCGGGUUGUAAAGUACUUUCAGCGGGGAGGAAGGCGAUGAGGUUAAUAACCUCGUCGAUUGACGUUACCCGCAAAAGAAGCACCGGCUAACUCCGUGCCAGCAGCCGCGGUAAUACGGAGGGUGCAAGCGUUAAUCGGAAUUACUGGGCGUAAAGCGCACGCAGGCGGUCUGUCAAGUCGGAUGUGAAAUCCCCGGGCUCAACCUGGGAACUGCAUUCGAAACUGGCAGGCUAGAGUCUUGUAGAGGGGGGUAGAAUUCCAGGUGUAGCGGUGAAAUGCGUAGAGAUCUGGAGGAAUACCGGUGGCGAAGGCGGCCCCCUGGACAAAGACUGACGCUCAGUGCGAA